rnacentral:lncRNA from 1 species
CCAAAACUAAAUCCAUCCCUUGCCUGAGCAGUUACUGUUUCAGCAUUGAAAAUGUCAUCACCGUCAUUUGUACUACUGACACCCAUUUCCCCUCGUGCCACUUCAUUGACAGGUCGGAAGCCAAUACUUAGCUGCGCCUGAUUGCUAUUGUUCAGUUCCGAAGUUUCAUUCAUGUCUAUGUUCCCAUAUGUACUUGAAGAUGGUAAAUGAACAUCAUCAACAUCCCCUGGAUAAUUUUCAACACUUUCCAUAGAGUCAUCAUCUCCAU